UACGAGGGUGCAAACGUUGCUCGGAAUCACUGGGCGUAAAGGGCGUGUAGGCGGGACAGUAAGUCGGGCGUGAAAUCCCUGGGCUCAACCCAGGAACUGCACUCGAAACUACUAUUCUUGAGUGUCGGAGAGGAAAGCGGAAUUCCUGGUGUAGAGGUGAAAUUCGUAGAUAUCAGGAGGAACACCAGUGGCGAAGGCGGCUUUCUGGACGAUAACUGACGCUGAGACGCGAAAGCGUGGGGAGCAAACAGG
rnacentral:rRNA from 1 species